GAGUUUGAUCCUGGCUCAGGAUGAACGCUGGCGGCGUGCUUAACACAUGCAAGUCGAACGAAGCGAUUUGACGGAAGUUUUCGGAUGGAAGCCAAAUUGACUGAGUGGCGGACGGGUGAGUAACGCGUGGGUAACCUGCCUCAUACAGGGGGAUAACAGUUAGAAAUGACUGCUAAUACCGCAUAAGCGCACGGAAGCGCAUGCUUCUGUGUGAAAAACUCCGGUGGUAUGAGAUGGACCUGCGUCUGAUUAGCUAG
rnacentral:rRNA from 1 species